GAAAUGCGAUAAGUAAUGUGAAUUGCAGAAUUCAGUGAAUCAUCGAAUCUUUGAACGCAUAUUGCGCCCGCCAGUAUUCUGGCGGGCAUGCCUGUUCGAGCGUCAUUUCAACCAUCAAGCCCCCGGCUUGUGUUGGGGACCUGCGGCUGCCCGCAGGCCCUGAAAAACAGUGGCGGGCUCGCUGUCACACCGAGCGUAGUAGCAUACAUUCUCGCUCAGGGCGUGCUGCGGGUUCCGGCCGUUAAACGACCUUCAUAACCCAAGGUUGACCUCGGAUCAGGUAGGAAGACCCGCUGAACUUAAGC
rnacentral:misc_RNA from 1 species